UAGCUGAUUCACUUUGUUAUACAGCAAAAACUAUCACACCAUUGUAAAGCAAUUAUACUCCAAUAAAGAUGUUAAGAAAAAAAAACACACAUUUAUUUGAUCCUCACUAUAAUGUCACUUCUGUAAUGUUAGAUAAUGUCACUUCAGUUAUCUAAUACUCACAAUAUAUUUUGAAGUGGGUUUUAAUCUCCGCAUUUCUGUCCGUAAGCAAAUUGAUAUUAGGAGUCGUGUGACAAGGUAUCCAGCAUCCUGCAGCUGGAAGGAGAAGAGCCAGGCUUCAAGCACAGCAGUAUCUGCUCAGAGCCCAUGCUCUUUCCACUCACCACUCACUAGGUGGUGGGGAACCCAGGUCCAGGAUCCCCUCCUCCCCAGGGUGGCUUAGGCACAUGUUGUGAAGAAGAAGAUCUGUGCAGGACUCACCAGGAGCUGACUGUUCAUUGUUAGUUACCCAGCAGGGCAACAGGUCUGUAGCUUCCCCGGGAAGCCCGGAGCUGAGUCAUGUAUUUAUUGCCUUUUUACAGGUCUGGCUGUGUUGCUGCAGCUGCAGCUUGGUAAGCAUCAUGAGUGUCUUUCCUUUUGACAGAGGAGUUUCCACCAUCGGCAAACUUACAUAUUUGAAAAUCUGAGAGAGCUGGAAUCUCCACCUCCUAUAAGACACUUAAAAUUGUUACAAAAAAGAAAGAGAGAAAGGAAAGAAGGAAGGAAGGAAGGAAGAAAAAAAGAGAGAGCUUCCUCAUCUCUACCUCCUACACCCCCGUAUCCACAUUCCUAUGAACUAGAGAUGGGAAUGAGAGUGCUGAGGCUCACGAUGACCCUCGUCAGGGUAAGGAAUUAAGAUAGCAGUACAAUGGGUUAGUUUAGAGUGGACCAGUCUUCAACUCCAUAGAAAUUAGAACUCUUCAGGGAAGGUGGUCCACUUUAUCCUGUAUUUGUUCUGACUCCAUUCCCAGGCCUUUGAGAGGGGAAUUUUAGCUUGUAGUCUUACCUCAGCAAUCUGGGCCUUUCUCAUAUCUUCCUCACACCCCCAGUGUACACAGCUCAUCUAUGUCUUCACCACUAUGGUGUUGGGGUCCAGGGCAGGCCACCCCAAAACAUGCCUCAAUGGCAUAUUGACUAUUUUGAAUUAAAUUUGCUUAAGAAAUGGCUGCUGCAAGAGGCACACUUUGACCCUCCUUUCUGUCUCCCUGAAAGCAGGAAAUAAAUCUCUCAUGUGAAAGGGCCACUCCCUGCAUCUGGAGGUAGAAGGACACCCUUAUCCCCAGAGACAAGGAAUUCAGGACCAAGAAGUCUGCAUAAACAAAUUUUGUUACUUCUUCAUUAGUCUGCUACCCCAAGUGCUCACCCCUUUGUUUUUUUAAAUCUUCACAAGUAAAUGUUUCUUUGUUUAAAAAUGAUAUAUAAACAGUCUUAUUUGGUCACUUUGGAGGUCUGAUUUCUUUGAAACCUCCAUGUUUAUGAAUUAAUUUUUUUGUUUACUCCUGUUAAUAUGUAGUCUGUCAAUUUAAUUAUUAGACCAGCCAAAAGAAUUCAAGAGGGGUAAAGGGGAAAUUUCCCUUCUCCAAGAAUGGUUCAAGAUCAAGAUGUCUCCCAGUGGAGUGAUGAUGCCAUUUACCCCGUGUGCCAGGCCCUCAAGCAGCAACAAACUUCUUUUAAAAUGGAAUUGAGAUGCCAGAAGGGGGAGUUCUCACACAGUACCCCUCAAGGUCAAUAACAGGAAGGACAGUUGCUUAGAGACCCCAACAGGAAGAAUCAUCAUCAGGAAAGAAUCGUCAGUUACAGGACUCAACAGGAAAGAUGUACUUGCAUCUCCUACAGGAAAUGGACUACCCCAGCUACCUGGCCUAUGAGAACCCAUCAUCUCUCUGAACUCCCACUUUCCUCCUUUCCUUCAAAACAACCCCUCCCAACUUCCUCCUUUUUACUCUGUAAAAUAACUUUCUUCUCCUUUGUUGGUUAGAUUUCCCUUGGCUUUUGCUAUAGCCUGCAUAUCCAAAAUUGUAAUUCUUUGCUGUUCCUGAAUAAACCCAUUUUGCUUGAAAA